AUUUGAGUCAUUUUGCAAAUUUUGUAACACAAUUCACAUAAGCAGGAGCCACUUUAGCCUAAUUCAAUCACAUUCAUUCUGAUUUCAGUGAAUCCACUUUUAAACCAUUUCAAACAAUUCAAAAAUGGAUUAUUAUUAUUUGUAUGGGUAAAUCAUUUCAUAACACCUUUUGGACUCCACUUUUAAAACCCUAGCCUCAUGCCUUUGAUAAUUAUGCCAAAAAUUUACAUGUGAAAUUGUCUUUUCAUUCAACCAUCCUUACUAAGAACACCAAAAUCAUUGUUUAGUCAAUAACUGACACGAAGCUAGCUAAGUAUAGAUUUAACUUUCUAGGCCAAGCAAAAUUCAAAAUGCUUAUGAUUUCAUAUGCUCUCACAAGACCAUUUCAUUGUGAAAUUAGCUGAAAGCUGAGCCAUUCAAAAUCAAAAUCUUGGCGCUGCACAAACUCUAUGUUCAUGUGUGUGUGUGUGUGUGUGUG
rnacentral:misc_RNA from 1 species